GUAAAUAAUAAAUUAUCACAAUCGUUGGUUGUGGAAUUGGGCUCUUAUUUCGAAUAGAUUUAUGGCCUUAAAUUUACGUCAUGUGCUUAAUUCGAACCAAACGGAGCAAUUAAACAUUCUCUCGUUAGACGGAUUACUCACAAGCCAUUACGAUUUUUCGGACGACAACAAGCACUUUCACGAGCGCGAAGCCCAAGAUCGUAAAUUCAUCCUGAC
rnacentral:misc_RNA from 1 species